ensembl:snRNA U6 U6 spliceosomal RNA
UCACUUUGACAGCACAUAUACUAAAAUUGUAAUGAUACAGAGAAGAUUAGCAUGGCCCCUGCACAAGGAUAAUACACAAAUUCAUGAAGCAUUCCAUAAUUUU